rnacentral:rRNA from 1 species
AUGGAUUUUUGCUCUAAUAGACAUAUGCUUUUGUUAGGGUGUUCAUCACCCUUUGGGCUAUAUCGCACGCACGCAAGGAAGGCUAUCCAUGAGCAAAACUGCCAAACACCAUAUGGUGCGCGCCAUUCUAUAACAAGCUAUAUCAAGGAGCUGGAUAAUUGUAGACCGAGGUCCACUACUGGUAGCGCUCAAACUACUGGGACAGCACGCGCCCGAAGAGUUGCCCCUGCCAAUGGUUUUUUCAAGAUCAAAGUAGGUGGUGCGACAUCAAAGACUACUACAAAGGGUUCCUACAUCGCGGGGGAUGCUACGGUUAAGUACAUGGGGUCUUAUGCUAUAAAAUGCACAUGUAUAGUAGACCCAGCUACGCUUGAGGCUAUAGCAUGCCGAGAAGCUCCUUCUUUGGCCCUAGGUCACUCUUUGUCACAUGUGAUAAUAGCUUCGGAUUGUCAAGAAGUUGUUACCAACAUACAAGGGCAUGGGUGGACAGUAUGGAAGCAUUGUCAGGAGAUCAAUGUAACAUCACUGCAACUGUUAAGAUGUUCCUUCUUGUUCGAAGGACGUGAACCUAAUAUUGAGGCACAUAGUCCCGCUAAGCACGGUUUAGGCCUUUUGUUGGGGCGUCAUGUGUGGCUACUAAAUCCCCCAGAUCUUGGUUGUAUCCCAAUGUACUCUGUCUAUGAUCGAUAA